rnacentral:rRNA from 1 species
UACAGAGGUCUCAAGCGUUGUUCGGAUUCAUUGGGCGUAAAGGGUGCGUAGGCGGCGCGGUAAGUCGGGUGUGAAAUCUCGGGGCUUAACUCCGAAACUGCAUUCGAUACUACCGUGCUUGAGGACUGGAGAGGAGACUGGAAUUUACGGUGUAGCGGUGAAAUGCGUAGAUAUCGUAAGGAAGACCAGUGGCGAAGGCGAAUCUCUGGACAGUUACUGACACUGAGGCACGAAGGCCAGGGGAGCAAACGGG